GGUCCGGUGGUGUAGUUGGUUUAUCACGUCAGUCUAACAUUAAAAUCACCUUAAAAAGUGAUUUAUGGGAGCACUGAAGGUCCCCGGUUCAAGCCCGGGCCAGAUCA